GUAGGGUACCUCCUGGUGUUGAGGCCAUGAUCAGGUGUAGGCAGUUAGGGUUUAGGGUGUAGGGUACCUCCUGGUGUACUUGGUUGAGGCCAUGAUCAGGUGUAGGCAGUUAGGGUUUAGGGUGUAGGGUACCUCCUGGUGUACUUGGUUGAGGCCAUGAUCAGG